rnacentral:tRNA from 1 species
GUGCCUGUAGCUCAGCGGAUAGAGCAUCUGCCUACGGAGCAGAGGGCCGGGGGUUCGAAUCUCUCCAGGCACA